rnacentral:rRNA from 1 species
CCUUACCCACCUUUGACAUGGCAGGAAGUUUCCAGAGAUGGAUUCGUGCUCGAAAGAGAACCUGCACACAGGCGCUGCAUGGCUGUCGUCAGCUCGUGUCGUGAGAUGUUGGGUUAAGUCCCGCAACGAGCGCAACCCUUGCCAUUAGUUGCUACGAAAGGGCACUCUAAUGGGACUGCCGGUGACAAACCGGAGGAAGGUGGGGAUGACGUCAAGUCCUCAUGGCCCUUAUAGGUGGGGCUACACACGUCAUACAAUGGCCGGUACAAAGGGCAGCCAACCCGCGAGGGGGAGCCAAUCCCAUAAAGCCGGUCGUAGUCCGGAUCGCAGUCUGCAACUCGACUGCGUGAAGUCGGAAUCGCUAGUAAUCGUGGAUCAGCAUGUCACGGUGAAUACGUUCCCGGGUCUUGUACACACCGCCCGUCACACCAUGGGA